UUGAAAUAAAUUGACAGUUUUGUAGUUUCACAUAAGUUCAUGUGUUGUUUUGUUUAUUUUUAUUUGUUGUUUAGUAUGUUUUUUUUACAAUUUGUAUGUUACGUUGUCCCUACUAUAAACAUGCAAUAUUUAUUGGGAUUGACAAAUUCAUUCAGUUUUAUCUCACAGAUCUAAUGUAACGAUAAAUAUCCAUGUGGUUGUUUACUACCUCCAUAAAACAUUGAUUAGUCAGUAUCAAUAAAUAUAGAUUAUCAUUUUUUUUAGCAUACUAUGAUUUGUGUGAUAUUCAUACGUCAGUUCUAUGAUUCAACUAUUUGGUAUUAUCAUCUGAUUCGAAAUAAAUGAAUCAGAGAAAGUCGAAAUUCCAACGUACUCCAAAACUUUUUGCUGAAGCCUAGCAGUUAAACGAGCAUCAUUCCUUGAUUGCAUAAUUUCAAUAGCAAGGUUGGAAUUGACAAAAGUAUUAUUGCCUUCAUUGCACAUAUCAUGUCAUUCUCAAAAAUUAUAUGAUUGUUAUAUUUAAUUAUAAAUGUCAUGAAUUUCAUGAAUGAGUGUAUAUAAGUAUAAGAAUAUAUGAAUAAAGAAUAAUAAUGUUAAAUAAA